rnacentral:rRNA from 1 species
UACGGAGGAUGCAAGCGUUAUCCGGAAUGAUUGGGCGUAAAGCGUCCGCAGGUGGCUAUGUAAGUCUGCUGUUAAAGAGUCUGGCUCAACCAGAUAAAGGCAGUGGAAACUACAUGGCUAGAGUGCGUUCGGGGCAGAGGGAAUUCCUGGUGUAGCGGUGAAAUGCGUAGAGAUCAGGAAGAACACCGGUGGCGAAAGCGCUCUGCUAGGCCGCAACUGACACUGAGGGACGGAAGCUAGGGGAGCGAAUGGG